rnacentral:lncRNA from 1 species
CUUCUCCAGCCUCAGAGGGGUCCCUGACUUCUCUCUUUGUGCAAUCACCUUUGCCUGAGGAUGCAUUUGCUGUCAAGCACUGAAUAAUAUGAGCAUGUCAUUUGAUCAAAAAAGACAGCAAAAAAGGUGGAAAAAACCCCAGAAUUCUGGAUAUCCAGGAGCCUAAUAGCAGUCUGCUUUACUCAGUGAUGGAACCCCAAGCCUUUCCCGUGAUAUCAGUCAGAGAAAUAACGAAAUGCAAUGAUACACCCACAUCCAGGAGGGUUCUUCAGCCAGCUGAGGAUGUCUCCAGAGAGGCCUGCCAACCACCAGAGCUUUGUUUACCUGCCAGAAACCUCCCGUCACUGCCAAGUUGCCCACAAGGAGCUUGGGAGGCUCAGCCUGCCAGUGGUGCCUCGGCACAGUCGCAAAACCUGGCAAAAAAUCUGGCAGCUUUUACAGCAGGACAGCCUGGACAGCUUCAAAAUGCCUUUUUCUGUGACCUCUGGGUGAAUAGAAGCCAUUUGCAUUUCAAGUAAACUUCCAGAAAAUUCCUAUGCUGUUGCUGGAAUAAACCCAUGAAGGAAACCUUUGCCA